AAACCGUAGUUACAAAACUGCAUAAAAAAAAUUCUAAAAAAGUCUGAUUAAAAAAUUCGAAAUAUUUCUAAGGCUAGGAUGUAUUCGCUCAAAUUCAAAAUUUUGCCCUAAUUUUAAUGCAGGUAUGAAACUACGAGGUCAGUUCAAUAAGUCUGUUACUCCAUACAUUAUGUCAAGUGUUUUUUUUUUUAAUUUUUUUGCAUUUCUAAUCCAUGCAUUCACGGUGCGAUAAACAAGACAACAGCGACAAAUGAAACGAUCGGCCUCCCUUCAAGAUCUAGUUUUGAACUUUCUAGCAGUAGAUCUGGUAAUACUACUUAGAUUCCUUGCAAGUAGAUUUAAUAGAAUUUUACCGCGAAGAUAUCGUCGGUGUUACUGCAGAAAGUUCUAUGUCAAUUAUUAACUCUGCUGCUUAAAUGAUCUGCCACCUGUAUCUGAUCGCUUCUGUAAAUCAGUAAUCUUCAUUAGUCAAAGCGAGACAGUUUUGUCAUUAGUUUAUGAGAGUGUAACGAUUUUUAGAUGCAUUCCGGUGCGGGUAACAGACCAUCCAUCCAAGUGCCAAGAGUACUAAUUGCAGUGUCACCGACAAUAUGCACUUUCAAGCAAACCGAAUGGAAUGAUUCAACUGCGACUUUUUUACGGUUCAAUGACUUUACCACACCUGACACGUGUUACUCACCAUACACACUCGAACCACACUCGAUAAACUUAUUAAAUACGUUAUACGCACAUGCAUAUGUACAUACUACAUAUGUAUGUAUGUAUGUAAAAAUUCAUAAAUGCAUAAUAAUUUUCUACAUGCGAACUGUGUUUGCUUUUAAUUGUUAAAAACAAAGAU